rnacentral:lncRNA from 1 species
AUGCAUGCGACAGGCGUGGACAGUAAUGCCUGUGUGAUUGGGCCGCGCCGGGUGAUGAUUUUAAUAAACACACGCACGCCGAGGGGGCCACAGGUCAACGGUGUUUGGAUUCAUCAGCCUCACAGGCUGCCAGAAAAUGAAGUUAAAGGUAAGAAACUCUGCAAUUUUACAAUUAUAUUGUCAAGUUUCCACCUUUUAUCUCCUUUUCAAGCUCCACCGGGUCCUUAUACCUGCGUUUCCCUCUGUAGUAUUGGUCUCUGCACACACACAGCUUACAGUGUGUACACACCAACACUCCCACCAACAGUCACCGCAAGAGUUAAUAUGUCUAUUGUUUGGCCAGCACGUCAAGCACUUAUCCCUGAGUGUUUGCAGGCUGCUGCAGGGAAAGAAUUAAAGACACAUUCUGCAGGAAAUGGUGGCGCGAGGAUGUCUGGGUCUACAGAACUCAUCCUGUCCCACAUGGUGUUCAGGGUUAAGGAAAGAUUGUGAUUUUAAUUGUGAUUAAAUAUUGAAAUAUUGAAUCCUAACUCCUAAAUAUUUCAACGGUUGCAAUCUGUUAUUAAGGAAGUUUGAUGGUGAAGCAGCGUGGGAUCAUGGAAGAUCAUGGAUCCUUCAUCCUCCCAUGAUCCCACGCUGCUUCACCACCUCAUCAAACUUCCUCUUUUGUUAUUGUUUUGAUGUGAGAGACCCCCUAGUGGCAGGAAUUACACACUGUACGUUUACGUCAUUUACCAAAAAAGGGACGAAACACAGUAAAGGUUAAACAAUGAAUUUGGCUGAUUAAUAUUAUUUUCAAAUUUUCUACAGAUAUUGCGAUAAUAUCGUUAUCCUGAAUUCUUCUGGCCACAAUCAGCUUGUGAAAAUCUAAAUUUAGUAAAUAUGAG